rnacentral:rRNA from 1 species
UCGAGAAUCUUUCGCAAUGGGCGAAAGCCUGACGAAGCGACGCCGUGUGAGCGAAGAAGGCCUUCGGGUUGUAAAGCUCUUUCGCUAGGGAACAAGAGAGGCGUGGUAAUAUAACGCCGAUUUGAUGGUACUUGGUAAAGAAGCACCGGCUAACUCCGUGCCAGCAGCUGCGGUAAUACGGAGGGUGCAAGCAUUGAUCGGAAUUACUGGGCGUAAAGGGCGCGUAGGCGGUGAGAUAAGUCAGAUGUGAAAUUCCGGGGCUCAACCCCGGAGCUGCAUUUGAAACUGUUUCACUAGAGGUCAGUUAGGGAAAACGGAAUUCCACGUGUAGCGGUGAAAUGCGUAGAUAUGUGGAAGAACACCAGUGGUGAAGACGGUUUUCUGGGCUGAUACUGACGCUGAGGCGCGAAAGCAAGGGGAGCAAACA